UACCAUGCAAGUCGAACGGGAUCCGCCAAGCUUGCUUGGCGGUGAGAGUGGCGAACGGGUGAGUAAUGCGUGACCAACCUGCCCCAUGCUUCGGAAUAGCUCCUGGAAACGGGUGGUAAUGCCGGAUGCUCCGCACCGUCGCAUGAUGGUGUGGGAAAGGGUUUACCGGCAUGGGAUGGGGUCGCGUCCUAUCAGCUUGUUGGCGGGGUGAUGGCCUGCCAAGGCUUCGACGGGUAGCCGGCCUGAGAGGGCGACCGGCCACAUUGGGACUGAGAUACGGCCCAGACUCCUACGGGAGGCAGCAGUGGGGAAUAUUGCACAAUGGGCGAAAGCCUGAUGCAGCGACGCCGCGUGCGGGAUGACGGCCUUCGGGUUGUAAACCGCUUUUGAUUGGGAGCAAGCGAGAGUGAGUGUACCUUUCGAAUAAGCACCGGCUAACUACGUGCCAGCAGCCGCGGUAAUACGUAGGGUGCAAGCGUUAUCCGGAUUUAUUGGGCGUAAAGAGCUCGUAGGCGGUUCGUCGCGUCUGGUGUGAAAGUCCAUCGCUUAACGGUGGAUCGGCGCCGGGUACGGGCGGACUGGAGUGCGGUAGGGGAGACUGGAAUUCCCGGUGUAACGGUGGAAUGUGUAGAUAUCGGGAAGAACACCGAUGGCGAAGGCAGGUCUCUGGGCCGUCACUGACGCUGAGGAGCGAAAGCGUGGGGAGCGAACAGGAUUAGAUACCCUGGUAGUCCACGCCGUAAA
rnacentral:rRNA from 1 species